rnacentral:rRNA from 1 species
GUAGGGAAUCUUGCGCAAUGGGCGAAAGCCUGACGCAGCCAUGCCGCGUGAAUGAUGAAGGUCUUAGGAUUGUAAAAUUCUUUCACCGGGGACGAUAAUGACGGUACCCGGAGAAGAAGCCCCGGCUAACUUCGUGCCAGCAGCCGCGGUAAUACGAAGGGGGCUAGCGUUGCUCGGAAUUACUGGGCGUAAAGGGAGCGUAGGCGGAUAGUUUAGUCAGAGGUGAAAGCCCAGGGCUCAACCUUGGAAUUGCCUUUGAUACUGGCUGUCUUGAGUUUGGGAGAGGUGAGUGGAACUCCGAGUGUAGAGGUGAAAUUCGUAGAUAUUCGGAAGAACACCAGUGGCGAAGGCGACUCACUGGCCCAAUACUGACGCUGAGGCGCGAAAGCGUGGGGAGCAAACAGGAUUAGAAACCCCGGUAGUCC